rnacentral:misc_RNA from 1 species
CAUUUAAAAAUUAUAUAUUGUUUUAUUUCAUUUUAGAGUUUUUAUGUUUAUGAUUUAAUGAUGUUUUAAGCAUUGACAGAUUCGUUGUACUUAUAUCAUUGUUGAUAGUGAUUAUUGUUUGAUCAUUAGAAUGGGGAAUGGCAUGAACAAGGUUUUGCCGGGUUUAUUCAUCGGGAAUUUUAGAGAUGCAAAGGAUAUGGAACAAAUAACAGGCAACAACAUUACACAUAUCUUAGCUGUUCAUGACAAUGCAAAACCAAGUCUUGAGACAAUUGAAUACAAAUGUGUGGAUAUCACAGAUAACCCUGGAGAGGAUAUAUCAAAGCAUUUCAAGGAUUGUGUUGAAUUUAUUCAUGAGGCCAGAAAAAAAAACGGAAAUGUGCUUGUUCACUGUAUUGCAGGCGUAUCUCGCUCAAGUACGAUAUGUGCUGCGUAUUUAAUAACUAUAACCAAUUUGGAAUGGGAUGAAGCGAUUUUAGCAGUGCGUGUGGCUCGACAAGUGGUCAAUCCCAAUUGUGGUUUUCAAAAGCAGCUGCAGACUUACCAACAGAUGGAAGCAAUAAAAGUUCGUGAUGGUUUAGAACAAAAGUAUGGACAAUUAGAUCAGUCAGAUGUUCAAUAUAUAAAAAAUGCUUUAGAUAAUUGUCAAAACGAAGAGCGCGUUGAUGACAUCCUGCAUACAACGCCAACAUUUGCUAGCUACGCCAGAAAAAAACGGUGAUUUGUUAACACUAUGGUUUUGUCCUUUAUACUUGUACAUAUGUUUUUUUAUUUGCAUUUAAAGUGUUUAAAUAUUUAUUUUUUAAUACAAGUAAAUAGUUCAGAAUAAUUUUAUAAAGUUGUUUAUAUACUUCGCUUUCUGAUAUUCAAUUUUAAAAGAUGUGCUUUGCAUCACGUUUUUAUGAUUCCUUCAGCGCAAGAUACAAAUAAUGAGUGUAACCAAGUUUCUUGUCUGCUUGUCAUUGGGAUUUAUUUUUUAUACUUUUAGUGUAAACACGUUACCAAUGACAAGAAGACAUCGCAGAAAUUCAGAACCUCGGAUAAAAUGUGUUGAUUAUAUUGGCUAUACUGCGGAAGAUCCAAGAUUUCACUGUAAAGCUGGAGAAAUAUGUGUUUAUUACCCACUUUGUGACAAAUACGCUCUUAACCCAAAAUGUCUGAAAAUUAACGAAAUGAAAAAGUGAUAACAUUCUUGGCAUAAAGUCUGAAAAGAAUUUUUUUUAAUAAAAA